GACCGCAUCGGCAAGUGUCAGACUGUAACGCCAGAUCUUGCACUGACAGCUCGUAUACCGUCACGCUGUACUCCGUCGUUUCAGUUAUGGCGUCUCAGUGUACCCUCUCUUCCCUGUUUGUGGCCCAAAACCAACUGGAGUCAGACUUGUACGGAGCUCAGUCUCAGCAGGAGAAGGAAAAAAUUGUUCACGCCUAUUUGGAGAGAAUGGACGAGCGUGAGGACCUAAAGAUCCGCGAUUUUCAGACGGGUCUGGAAUGGCUGAACACAGAUGGACCACUGUCACUAAACAAGGAGCUUGCUGGGAAACUGGUUCUGCUGGACUUUUUCACUUACUGUUGUAUCAACUGUUUGCACAUCAUGCCAGUCCUGCACAGAAUUGAGAAGAAACAUUCUGUCACAGAUGGACUGGUGAUCAUUGGGGUCCAUUCUGCUAAAUUUCCCAAUGAAAAGGUCCUGGAAAAUGUCCGCAAUGCAGUACUCCGAUACAACAUCAGUCACCCGGUGGUGAAUGACAGCAAGGCCGACAUGUGGAAUGACCUGGAGGUCUCCUGCUGGCCUACUCUUGUGCUGCUCAGCCCACAAGGCAGCCUACUUUUAUCCUUGGUGGGCGAGGGUCACAGUGAUAGGCUGAUGUUCUUCAUUGAUGUGGGGCUUCAGUACUACAAGAAAAGGCAACUCAUUAAGACUCACUCAGUGGCAAUUAAGCUCUACAGGGACUCGCUGCCUCCAAGCAUCCUCUCUUUUCCCGGAAAGCUGUCUGUAGAAAACGGCACAAAGAAACUUGCCAUCGCUGACACAGGACAUCACAGGAUUCUGGUGGUUUCCUUAUCUGGGCAGCUGCUGCAUAUCAUUGGAGGAACUCAACCUGGAAAACAAGACGGCAGCUUGACUGGCUCCAGCUUCAACUCCCCGCAAGGUGUGGCUAUGAAAGGGGAAAUUAUAUAUGUUGCAGAUACAGAAAACCAUCUGAUUCGCAAGAUUGACCUUUCAGAGGGACAGGUCACCACACUAGCUGGUGACGGCACUCAAGGCACAGACAAGGAGGGUGGAAGAGUGGGGCCCCAGCAACCAAUUAGCUCCCCUUGGGACGUCACUCUUGGUUCUACUGACAGGGAUGGGCACAUUCUGUGGAUCGCAAUGGCUGGAACCCAUCAGAUUUGGGCUUUGUUUCUUGCAGAUGGGAAGCUGCCUAAAGGAAGCUUCUUCAAUGCAGGGACAUGUGUGAGGUGGGCUGGCAGUGGCAAUGAGGAAAAUAGGAAUAACUCCUACCCUCACAAAGCCGGCUUUGCUCAGCCCUCAGGCUUGGCUGUUGCACCAGAGGAUCCCUGGAACUGCAUGUUUGUGGCUGACAGUGAAAGCAGCACCAUUCGGAUGUUGGCUCUCACGGACGGAGCUGUCAAGUCGCUGGUUGGAGGAGAGAGGGAUCCACUGAACCUUUUUGCUUUUGGGGAUGUGGAUGGAAAAGGAAUGGACGCUAAACUACAACAUCCUCUCGGUGUGGCCUGGGAUAAAGAACAAAGUAUACUCUAUGUGGUUGACUCCUACAAUCACAAGAUAAAAGUGGUGGAUCCCAAAACAAAGCACUGCUGGACCUUGGCAGGCUCUGGAGAGGCAGCAGACAAUAUCAGCCCUGACUUCAGCAAGUGCUCUUUCAAUGAACCAGGGGGGAUCUGUGUGGGCACUGGAGGCAAACUAAUCUACGUUGCUGACACGAACAAUCACCAAGUCAAAGUGCUGGACAUGGAGAUCAAGACCAUCUAUCCGCUCCCUAUUUCCAUGGACUGCACUGACUCGUCAACUUCAAAAGGCUCUUCUCCUCCUCGAGUGCCACUGUUGCCUAAAUCUGCCGCCAGGAUAGACCUGGCACCUUUAUCAGUGUCUGCAGGCCAGACUCUGCUUGUGUCGCUUAACUUAUCGCUUCCUGAGGGAACCAAGCUAACAGCAGGUGCCCCGAGCUGCUGGACGUUGUCAUCUGACGAUGCAGAUUGGCUGCUGGGUGGUCAAGUUCUGAGUGGUGACAUUGUCGAUCUGUCAAAGCCCCUUUGCAUUUCGACCCAAAUUCCAUCACAGCUGAAAGAUCAUGAAACUCCAAGACAUCUAUCGUUGAGUGUAUGGGUGUACUAUUGCUUCGAACAAGGUACUGCCUGUAUGAUGACAGCUGCAUCAUUUUCACAAGUUCUGCAUUUGAACAGUAGUACAGAGUGUGGAGAGGUUGUGGUUGCCAUCUCACACAUCUUCUGAUGUUCCUUCACAGUUAUGUUGCUCUUGCUCUUCUAUUAUACAAGUGUUGAUCUUGAUCAGGAGAUCACAGGGACUUUUGUCAGGGCAUACUGUAUUUUCUAUAUUCUAUACUAUUUUGUUGGAACUCAUUGAGUGCCUAUAAAAUGAGGGUUUGGGUUAGGUUGGUGAGCAAAUUAAAAACGUAUGUAUGUAAAGCAGCAAAUAAUCAAGAAUUGUAAGUUUUGCUAGAUCACAUGUUGAAAUAGCCCAUGUUGUAGGAAGCUUUUGCGUUCUCAAAACGAUACCUAACAUACCGAUGACAUCUCAUUGCUCGAGCACUGAUACAGAAUUAUGAUGGUGAUCGAGUAGGUAAGUGUCUACUGUCCAUUUCUGGAAUCUGUCUCCAAAAUUAAUAAAGGAUACAUUUUGUGUUCAAAUAUUGGUUUAAUAAAUAUAGACACUGAGAGUUGUUUUGCAGUGUGUGUCUGUCUGGAGACUUAAGUCAAUAGAGCAUAUUCCUGAAUCGCUAUGUGGGUCACCUUUUAUUUGUAGCCUACUUGACUUGGGUAUAAAGCGUGAGCUCUUAAUAAUUCUUUGCAGUUACAACAAUUCAUCUGUUUCAGCUGCUCUUAUAUUAAGAACUUUUGGCUGCUGUCUGCAUGCAUGUAAAACAUUAACUGGGUGAAUACACCCCACCACUUCCUGCCUGUAACAUUAAAUAAAUGUUGUGGGACAGAUUUACACAGCACAGCAAAUGUCUUUCAGUGGUGAGAUCUCCACCAAAAUUCCCUUUCAUUCACUUGAACUUGAUUGCACAGUUUAGUCAUGCUACCAUCAAAUCAAUCAGUUUCUCUAAACUUUGUCUGGGUUCAGUGGGCAAGCUGAGUUGGAAUAGUUGCGAUUCUAUGAUCCUUUUUUUAUCGAUAUGCCUGGUUUCUUUCAGAAGCUCAGGUAAUUGACUGUGAUUGUGACUGUCUCGUUUGGUGCCAUUAAUGGCUUGUGUUCAUCGGUGCCUUUUCACAAGGGGCAAGAGCUAAUAUUCACCUAAUCCCCACGUUUCCCAGCGAGAAAAUGACGAGAGGAAAACAACAGGUUGGGAUUCAACAUGGAGGAAAAACAUGAGGUGGGAAAGUUCCAAAAAAGGAAUAUGUUGGAAAUGCAGCAAAUUAACUGGAUAAACUGGAUAUAUUUUCUAUUCACAUUUUCUUAUAGUCAUAUUCAUCAUUGUAUUAUGCUGUUUAAAUGUAUUUCAAAACAUAUUUUCACAUUUUCCUGUCCAUGUCGCCAUACCCAAUCCCUUCUUUAUUGCCUUUAUACCAGUCCAGUGGAGAGUGGAAACUUUAUUUGUGCUGUCGUAUUUUCACAAUGGAAUGCAACGCCUCCAAUUCCCAUUGGACAUAAGAUAAUAAGCUGAAGCUGCCAAAGCCUGUUGUGAGGAGCAUGAGGAUCUGGACAAGUGAAGCUAAAGAGGAGCUGCAGGCUUGUAUGGAGACCACAUACUGGGAGGUGUUCAGGGCUGCAACCAAUAAUCUGGAUGAGUAUACAGACACUGACUCCAUGGAUCAGCUACUGUGAAGAGUGCAUAGUUCCAACGCACACCAAGACUUUCUGACCAGCCGGAGUCAGCGCGUGUGGCUGGGGACGACUGUCUCCGACACUCAACAUUGGGUCUCCUCAGGGCUGUGUUCUCUCUCCAUGGCUCUUCUCCCUGUACACCAACUGCUGCACCUCCAGCCACCAGUCCGUGAAGCUGAUCAAGUUUGCGGAUGACGCCACCAUCAUCGAGCUCAUCUCAGCUGUCAGCUGACAGGCGGGAGGCUGAGCGGCUGGUGUCCUGGUGCUCCACAACAACCUGGAGCUCAACGCCCAGAAGACAGUGGAGAUGGUCAUGGACUUCAGGAGAGUCACAGUUUCUCUGUCCCAUGUCAUGUUGGCUGGUUUUCCCAUUCCUAUUGUGGACUUCUUCUGCUUCCUAGGAACCACCAUCACAGAGGACCUCAAAUGGGAGCCAACCAUCAGGUCGCUCAUCAGGAAGGCAAAGCAGAGAAUCUUCUUCUUGAGGCAGCUACGAAAACUAUGACUGCCGACGAAGUUGCUGGUGGAGUUCUACACAGCCAUCAUCCAGUCCAUCCUCAACUCCUCCAUCAUUGUCUGGUGCAACAGCGCCACCUCCAGGGACAAGAGCAGACUGCAGCGCAUCGUACGUUCUGCUGAGAAGGUGAUCGGUUGCAGCCUGCCACCUCUUCAUGACCUUGUAUGUCUCCAGGACCCAGAGAAUUGCAGGUCGGAUCAGAGUGGACCCUUCUUACCCUGGUCAUGGACUGUUUGUCCCUCUUCCCUCCCUUUUAUUGACAGCACUUUAUUCCAAAGUACUUUCCUAGUUGGUGGGAUCCCCACUGCCCAUGGCAACAAAUUGGAUUCAGAUUCUGAUUAAGUGUUACAUACUGUACAGUAUGUUCUGGUUGCAAGUUGGUCAAUGUGUGAAGUGGUUUGUUGCACUCAGGUCCCACUUGGGCAAAUCCCAUUGAUGAAAAAAAAAAAAAACAUCAACUAAGGAGCAUACAGAAGAAAUUUAUUUAGAAUUUAAAAUAAAAAGGUUUACAUCAGCCUCAUAUAGUUGGUCACAAUAUCCCUCAAUUAAAAGACAAGAUUAAAUAAAUUUGGCUAAAUUAUCCUGAAAGUGAUUCACACAUUUAUUGUUUUCAAAUGUCUAUCAUUCUGAGCACAGCAUCCUUCACCAUUGUGAUAAAACCUGAAAAUGCGUUUUCAAACUGUACAAACUGUAUAAAACAAUCUGGCCUGGCACCAGAUUACAGAGCUUUUACACUGGUAUGUGUGGUGGUUCAAUGUUAUGUAUGUAUUUUUUUCUCCCCAGGACAUUCAUGUGUAUAUGGUAGACAGAUAUCAUGCCAGCCAGACAGAGUGGCAGUACAGCAACGCUGUUUGAAGCAGCGAUUCACCAGGAAGCACCUUGAAAAAGGCUCUGUAAAGUUAGACUUGGUCCAAAUGUGCCAACCAAAUUGGUCCUUGUGAGACAAGUGACAUGAAAACACAACCAAGAAAAACCUCCGUACUGUUGUGUAAAGUUGGCGUGUACAGUAUGAAUACAGUUUUGUCAGUACACAGAGAUGGUCAAUCACAUAAAACAUAACAAUUGAACAUAGAAACGACUGAUAAAAAUUAUUGUGCUGGACCUGGACUUGGUGGAGUUGGACAGUGGGUUAUCACCAUUUUACUGUCACAGUUCAUCCUGAACUUAAUAAAUGUCUUUAAAAUGUUAUUUAUUUCAGAUAUCAUAGCUGCCUCUUUCACUUACAAAUAUCACAGCAUUGUGUCAAUACACAAUUUUCUGUUUGUAAUUUCAGUUACAUCUCAUAAGUUCACAAAAUGGGAGCUCUGUUUGAGAUUGAAAUGGUGACAAGAAUUACAAAAAUGUCUCAUGUGCUGUGCCCAUUUUGGGCUUGAAAUAUUGGUGUUUAGUCUGUGGCCGAUGCAUCGUAAUCAUGACAGUGACCAACUCCAGUGAUGGAUUCACAGAUGCUGAUGGAUAUAAACGUUCAGAUCCAGGCUGAGUCGUUGGAAAAAAGUCCUUGACUGAACGUGAGUGGUUU